rnacentral:misc_RNA from 1 species
GAUGAAGAACGCAGCGAAAUGCGAUACGUAGUGUGAAUUGCAGAAUUCAGUGAAUCAUCGAAUCUUUGAACGCACAUUUCACCUCUCGGUAUUCCGGGAGGUAUGCCUGUUCGAGCGUCAUUUGUACCCUCAAGCUCUGCUUGGUGUUGGGUGUUUGUUCCGCCUCUGUGUGUGAACUCGCCUCAAAACAAUUGGCAGCCGGCGUACUUGUUUCGGAGCGCAGCACAUUUUGCGAUCCAGAUCAACGUACAGCGGCAUCCAAGAAGCCUUAUUUAACGCUCUUGACCUCGGAUCAGGUAGGGAUACCCGCUGAACUUAAGCAUAUCAAUAAGCGGAGGA